CACACGCUAAGUACCGGGAGGACAACAGUCGUUUCUGGCGAACUCUGCUUCCCGGAGCCAACGGCAGCCGUCUACAUGCACUGUGAAGACAAUGGCGCCCGAACCGCGAAACUACACUUCCCAGAAUAUUAUGCGGCCGCGAAACGUCUUUCGGGUCAUUCCUCUGCUCGCACAGAUGUUGUCCGGCCCGGAGAAGGGCAGCCUUGCUAGUGCGGGACACGAAGUGGCCUCUACCAGCCGAAGGUCUCCUCUCAUCCAAAACUUUGCUGCCACGCUGUCCAGCUCGUAUAGGUCUUGAGUAUUUGGCGCCCACUUGCCCAGGACUGUAUUUUCCCAAAUGCCCUGUGUCCGGGCUGUUACGUUAGCUGUCUGCGGACCAAUGACACUUCCCAGAAGUUCGAGGGGUCACAUCUUCGCUACGACAGUGACUGCUGCUGUGAUGUGCAUUACACGUCCUCGAAGGACUCAGGAUUAUCAGACUCGAGUGAGGGCACUGAGGACCAAGACCCUCAAUCCUGGGAAAAAACACUCCUCUGACCCUCCUCCGGCCCCAGAAGCGCUUCUUAGUCUCUGACUGCCCAGUCCACCCACACGGGCCCUGGACAAAGAUGUAUCUAGGCCAGAGCAUUCUACUGUUGUGAGUUUGUGUUGUUGCCUUUACUUUUUUUUUUAAGCUUCCCUUGCCCGCGACCUUUCAGAACUUCCGAGAGAAUCACCAUAAAGAGGUAGGAACCACCUCUGCGCCUUGCAUCCGUGACCUUCAAGGACGUGGCAGUGACCUUUACCUAGGACGAGUGGGGGCAGCUGGAUGCUGCCCAGAGGAGCCUGUACUGGGAGGUGAUGCUGGAGACCUGUGGGAUAUCCGGUUCCCAAACCAGAUCUAAUCCACCCACUGAAGCACAGGCAGGAGCUGUGGGUGGUGAAGAGAAGCCUCUCCCAAAGUGCCUGUCCAGCUUCACUUCCCAACUUUGGAAGAGGUCUCACCCCCUGCCGUAGCUACUUCCUGCACCAGAGACUAAAUCACACCUUCUCCUGCAACUUUGGAGGCUUCUCAUGCUUCCUCCUAGAAAGGUAACCGGUAUUUAGACUCUGUCACCAUAGAUUAGCUUUGACUGUCUUGACUUGAUGUAAAUGGAGUCCCAGUUUAUUCUGUCACGUCUGUCUUCUUUUGAUCUUCGUUAUGCCUGUGAGAGUCAUUCUUGUGGUUCUAUGUAGUUCAACUCUGUUCUCAGUGCUCAGCAGUAUCUCAUUGUAAGGAUGUCCAUUCUCCCGUGAUUGCCGUUUUAAUUUUUUCCUAUUUCUUGUAUUAUGAACAUUCUUGUUCAUGUUAUUUUUGGAGCUAUAUACUAUGUAUACAUAAUAUAGUACUCAUUUUUGCGGGGAAUAUACAGAGAGAGGAAUGACUGGGUCUUAGGCUAUGUAUACGUUUAGCUUGAACAGAAACUGCCAGACAGUUUCACAGAGUGGCUGCACCCUUUCACGCUCCCACGAGCCAUGUGUGAGAGUGCCCAUUGCUACAUUCCCAUCAGCACUUGGUGUCUUCCCCUUUCCUUUCUGAGGCCCAGUGGUGAGGUGGCUCAGAACCACAGCACUGAAACCAUUCUUGAUGAGGUCAUAGCUUUUAUUCUAAUUGUCAAAUGCAACAACAGCACUAACGAUAGUGAAUAAUGGCCCACAAUAUACUGAACAUUCAACCUGUGCCAGGCACUAUGCUAAGUACUUUACAGGUGUGGUCUUGUUAACCCUCAUGGCAGCUGGUGAAUUAGGAACUGGGCAUCUCCCAGUGUUUCAGGUUAGGAAAUGGUGAUUUACAGGUGGUUAAUAACUGUCAAGAUGACUGCUUGGUAGAGGCAGGGUUUGAACUGAAGUGACAUUCUUCACCACCACGGUGUACUGGUUUUCGAUGCAGCAGAAACCUGUUCCACUUUUCUGCACCUCAGCUUUGGUAGCACUUGGUUCCAGUGGUCCCUCUUUUCCAAUUCUGACUGGAUUGUUCUCUCCCUCUUACUCUAAUCGCCUCCUCAGUAUUGGCUUUGCCUGACAUCUCAUGGCCCUUUCUUUUUAUUGUAAUUAGUCUCCCAGAAUGAUCCGCCUCUACUCUUAGUUCUUCAGCUCAUGCAUGUUGUGUCCCAUAUCCAUGCCGCAAUAUAGGCAGGAUAGUUAACAGGUAUUCAUUGCUUUUUGGUGCUUGUAAACACUGUAUAUACACUGUUUCAAUUCAUCCUCACAGUGAUUUUUUGAGACUCUACUUGUACUCUGAUUUGUAGGUGAGGAAGCAGAAGCUUGUGGAAGUUGAACGCUUGCUGAAGGUCAGAAAACUAGCAAGGGGGUGUUGCUGGGAUUUGAGCCUGGGCUGAUUCUCCCCAGGCUCCAGAGAGAUCCCUCAUCCCUUCCACCAUUUGGGGACACAGCAAGAAGGCACUGGCUAUGAACCAGAAAGAAUGCCCUCACCAAAAUGUGACCAUGCUGGCGCCUUGAUCCUGGACUCCCCAGCCUCCAGAACUGUGAGAAACAAAUUUCUGUUGUUUGUAAGCUACCCAGGCUUUGGUAUGUUACAGCAGCCCAAAUGGACCAAGACAUUGAUGUAGUUUUCUGAUACAUGCUUUUAAAGAAUUCAGUGUUAAAUUACUAAGAAUCACUGUGUGUGAGCUGUAGUGUUUUUUUUUCCUUCUUCUCAAAAUACUGUUACGUCAAUAUAUCACAAUGUAUUUA